rnacentral:snRNA from 1 species
AGAUGUGAGGGUGAUCUUGCUGCGAUAUCUGUCACCCCAUUGAUCACUAGGGUUGAUUCAGCUGAUCUGGCUGGCUACGCAGGUGUCCCCUUCCUCCCUCAAUGUUCCAUGUGCAUUGCUCUUGCAGCUGCGAGCUCGGUCAAAGAAGACAACCACCCCCAAUAGAGGAACAGUGUUUCUCAGUCAAGAGUGUACAAGUAGCUGCGCUCCCCUGCUAGAACCUCAAACAAGCUCUCAAAUUUACUAGUUCCCAGUAUAAAAUAGUCACUAUUUUAAAUAUUCAAAUAUAUAAUUAUUAUAGUCUUU